AAAGCCUUUCUUGGGUAAUGGCAAUCUUUAGCCCUAUCUUGUUUACAGUGUUAUAUCUGUAAUAAGGAAUCUGAUUUCAUCAAUCGGAAAUUGCAGUUUAGUGGAGGAAUGGAGGUCAAAGACAUAGCCUGUGAGGCAUCACAUAACAAGCCGGCUAAAUAAAAUGUGUUAAACUUUAAAGACACAAAGUCAUUUCUUCUUCCCUUGGCGCUGCCCAUCCCUGGAACUUUUGCUAGCGAAAAUUACCGCCGGCUGUCUAGAAGAUGCUUGUCUGAAUCAUCAGUAAUUGGACUAAAUGGAGUUCUUCAGCUCCAGUUAUCGCGAACAAGCUGUUCUACCAAUGUUUUAUUGGAUGAUAACUCUAUGUUCUGAGCCCCAUUCAACGUACGAACCAGGAAGUUCUCCAGGCAGCAUGUCAUUUCUUAAAAGGGAACUCAUGAUUCCAGAGAACCACAUAUCUCAUCAGUGCAAAAAGGGACAUGAUAUUGAAGUCUAAAACUGCUUUCCCAAUUCCUUUCUGACUCGUAGAUGCAAGUUUGCCGAUCAAGGAUAUGGAACUGGUAUGCUUAAACUGAGAAUGCUGACAUCUUAUGAUAUUGGGGAGUUAUUUGGUCAUCGAAUGGUCUCUGAUAUACAUUCAUGACUGGUCAAUUCACAUUUUCUGCCUGUGGCAGUUUUUUUGACAAAUGUCUGAAGAUGAAGACGGUUUUGUCCUUCUGUUUCUCACAUUAUUCAGCUGUUCAUGACUUGUAUUUAGUAUCUGGAAAAAUAGAUAUCAUUGUAUCUUUGCCUUUGUUUGGCACUAGAAUUUCCACUGCCAAGUACCAAGAAAACUAGAGAGGAAUGCAUCAAGUGCCAACAAUUUCCACUUCAAAAUCUUUAUGAUCUGGAAUGUAAUUCUCUAUCAAAAAGUGAAAGUAUCAUGGCAUCA